rnacentral:rRNA from 1 species
AUUGAACGCUGGCGGUAUGCUUAACACAUGCAAGUCGAACGGCAGCAUAAUCUUCGGAUUGAUGGCGAGUGGCGGACGGGUGAGUAAUAUAUAGGAAUCUGCCUUGUAGUGGGGGAUAACUAUCCGAAAGGAUAGCUAAUACCGCAUAAUGAUUACGGUUUAAAGCAGGGGAUCUUCGGACCUUGCGCUACAAGUUGAGCCUAUACAAGAUUAGCUAGUUGGUGAGGUAAAGGCACACCAAGGCGACGAUCUUUAGCUGGUCUGAGAGGAUGAUCAGCCAAACUGGGACUGAGACACGGCCCAAACUCUUACGGGAGGCAGCAGUGGGGAAUAUUGGACAAUGGGCGCAAGCCUGAUCCAGCAAUACCGCGUGUGUGAAGAAGGCCUUCGGGUUGUAAAGCACUUUUGUUAGGGAGGAUGGUGAUUUUGGCGAAUACCCAAAGUCAUUGACGUUACCUAAAGAAUCAGCACCGGCUAACUCCGUGCCAGCAGCCGCAGUAAAAC